rnacentral:rRNA from 1 species
CAUAUGCUUGUCUCAAAGAUUAAGCCAUGCAUGUCUGAGUACAGACCGAUCUAAGGUGAAACCGCGAAUGGCUCAUUAAAUCAGUCAUAAUUUCUUGGAUAGUGAAAAACUUUCCUCGGAUAACUGUGGAAAAUCCAGAGCUAAUACGUGCAACUGAGCUCCGACCUUGACGCGAGUCUCGGGAAGAGCGCAUUUAUUAGAUUCAAAACUGACCGGUGUACUCCUUCGGGAUACAUCGUUCUUAAAAUGUUUGAUGACUCCGGAUAACUUAGCCGAGCGCUACGGUCUUUAGUACCGGCGCCGUAUCUUUCAAGUGUCUGCCUUAUCAGCUUUCGAUUGUAGGUUAAACGCCUACAAUGGCUGUAACGGGUAACGGGGAAUCAGGGUUCGAUUCCGGAGAGGGAGCCUGAGAAACGGCUACCACAUCUAAGGAAGGCAGCAGGCACGCAAAUUACCCACUCCCAGCCCGGGGAGGUAGUGACGAAAAAUAACGAUGCGAGACUCUUCCGAGGCCUCGCAAUCGGAAUGAGUCCAUUUUAAAUACUUGGACGAGGAUCCAUUGGAGGGCAAGUCUGGUGCCAGCAGCCGCGGUAAUUCCAGCUCUAAUAGCGUAUAUUAAAGUUGCUGCGGUUAAAAAGCUCGUAGUUGGACUUCCUAGAUCCAUUUCGCGGGUGAGUCGCUCUUUGUACUAGCGUUUCGAGCUGUUCCUUGAUGAAGUCGUCGCGCGAAUUCUUCGGAUAUCGACUUUCGGGCCGGUUUCGAAGGUUCCCGGCGUUACCGAUUCUGUAGGGAAUUUCGAUUCGUUGUCUUAGAGUAUAGCUCGUCCGCGUUUGGUACAAUUAAAAAUUUGUUGGCUCGCUCGGAGUGCUCUUCACCGAGUGUUCCAGGGUGGCCGACACGUUCACUUUGAAAAAAUUAGAGUGCUUAAAGCGGGCUUAUUUACGGCCUGAAUGUCUGUGCAUGGAAUGAAGUAACAGGACCUCGAUUCUGUUGUUUUUGUCGGUUUUAAUGAACCGAGGUAAUGAUUAAAAGGGACAGACGGUGGCAUUAGUAUUGCGGCGCUAGAGGUGAAAUUCUUGGACCGUCGCAAGACUAACUACUGCGAAAGCAUUUGCCGAGAAUGUUUUCAUUAAUCAAGAACGAAAGUUAGAGGAUCGAAGGCGAUCAGAUACCGCCCUAGUUCUAACCCUAAACUAUGCUAACUAGCGAUCCGCCGGAGUCAUUCCCACGACCCGGCGGGAAGCCCCAGGGAAACCAAAGUCUUUGAGUUCCGGGGGAAGUAUGGUUGCAAAUCUGAAACUUAAAGGAAUUGACGGAAGGGCACCACCAGGAGUGGAGCCUGCGGCUUAAUUUGACUCAACACGGGAAACCUCACCAGGCCCGGACAUCAUAAGGAUUGACAGGUUGAGAGCUCUUUCUCGAUUUGAUGGGUGGUGGUGCAUGGCCGUUCUUAGUUGGUGGAGUGAUCUGUCUGGUUGAUUCCGAUAACGAACGAGACUCUACCCUACUAACUAGUCGGCGGAUCGUAACCCUGAGAUGGUUAGUUUGCAUAGGUGAGUCUAGCCCAAAGCGGGGAUCGUGCGAUAAGCGCGUUUCGUUCUGCGCGCGUCCCGCGUUAGAGCGUCUCGCGUGGAUAGUUCGAAAACCUUCGCCGAAGCUGCUCUCUGAUUGCUGCUACUGCUGGGGGCGUCCGUCGCAAUGUAUCUUCUUAGAGGGAUCAGCGGCGUAUAGCCGCACGAGAAAGAGCAAUAACAGGUCUGUGAUGCCCUUAGAUGUUCUGGGCCGCACGCGCGCUACAAUGUAGGGUUCAGCGUGCUUUCCCUCUCCGAAAGGAGCGGGUAACCAGUUGAAACCCCUACCCGAUUGGGAUUGGGGAUUGCAAUUAUUUCCCAUAAACGAGGAAUUCCCAGUAAGCGCGAGUCAUCAGCUCGCGUUGAUUACGUCCCUGCCCUUUGUACACACCGCCCGUCGCUACUACCGAUUGAAUGAUUCAGUGAGGGCAUCGGACUGGCCCUUCGGUUUAGUAACCUAGACCUUAGGCUGACGGAAAGACGUCCGAACUUGAUCAUUUAGAGGAAGUAAAAGUCGUAACAAGGUUUCCGUAG